rnacentral:rRNA from 1 species
CCUACGGGUGGCAGCAGUUUCGAAUCAUUCACAAUGGGCGAAAGCCUGAUGGUGCGACGCCGCGUGAGGGAUGAAGGUCUUCGGAUUGUAAACCUCUGUCACUGGGGAAGAAACGCUUUGAGUUAAUAGUUCAAAGCCUGACUUAACCCGGAGAGGAAUCAGUGGCUAACUCUGUGCCAGCCGCCGCGGUAAUACAGAGACUGCAAGCGUUAUCCGGAUGGGCUGGGCGGCGAGGGUGCGCAGGCGGCCUGAAAUCCCGGAGCUUAACUCCGGAACUGCGCCUCAAACUACACGGCUAGAGCAUUGGAGAGGGAAGUGGAAUUCACGGUGUAGCAGUGAAAUGCGUAGAUAUCGUGAGGAACACCAGUGGCGAAGGCGACUUCCUGGACAAUUGCUGACGCUCAGGCACGAAAGCGUGGGGAGCAAAAGGGAUUAGAUACCCCUGUAGUC